rnacentral:rRNA from 1 species
CCGUAGGUCAACCUGCGGAAGGAUCAUUA